rnacentral:rRNA from 1 species
UUGAACGCUGGCGGCAGGCCUAACACAUGCAAGUCGAACGGUAACAGGAAGCAGCUUGCUGCUUCGCUGACGAGUGGCGGACGGGUGAGUAAUGUCUGGGAAACUGCCUGAUGGAGGGGGAUAACUACUGGAAACGGUAGCUAAUACCGCAUAAUGUCGCAAGACCAAAGAGGGGGACCUUCGGGCCUCUUGCCAUCGGAUGUGCCCAGAUGGGAUUAGCUUGUUGGUGGGGUAACGGCUCACCAAGGCGACGAUCCCUAGCUGGUCUGAGAGGAUGACCAGCCACACUGGAACUGAGACACGGUCCAGACUCCUACGGGAGGCAGCAGUGGGGAAUAUUGCACAAUGGGCGCAAGCCUGAUGCAGCCAUGCCGCGUGUAUGAAGAAGGCCUUCGGGUUGUAAAGUACUUUCAGCGGGGAGGAAGGGAGUAAAGUUAAUAUCUUUGCUCAUUGACGUUACCCGCAGAAGAAGCACCGGCUAACUCCGUGCCAGCAGCCGCGGUAAUACGGAGGGUGCAAGCGUUAAUCGGAAUUACUGGGCGUAAAGCGCACGCAGGCGGUUUGUUAAGUCAGAUGUGAAAUCCCCGGGCUCAACCUGGGAACUGCAUCUGAUACUGGCAAGCUUGAGUCUCGUAGAGGGGGGUAGAAUUCCAGGUGUAGCGGUGAAAUGCGUAGAGAUCUGGAGGAAUACCGGUGGCGAAGGCGGCCCCCUGGACGAAGACUGACGCUCAGGUGCGAAAGCGUGGGGAGCAAACAGGAUUAGAUACCCUGGUAGUCCACGCCGUAAACUAUGUCGACUUGGAGGUUGUGCCCUUGAGGCGUGGCUUCCGGAGCUAACGCGUUAAGUCGACCACCUGGGGAGUACGGCCGCAAGGUUAAAACUCAAAUGAAUUGACGGGGGCCCGCACAAGCGGUGGAGCAUGUGGUUUAAUUCGAUGCAACGCGAAGAACCUUACCUGGUCUUGACAUCCACGGAAGUUUUCAGAGAUGAGAAUGUGCCUUCGGGAACCGUGAGACAGGUGCUGCAUGGCUGUCGUCAGCUCGUGUUGUGAAAUGUUGGGUUAAGUCCCGCAACGAGCGCAACCCUUAUCCUUUGUUGCCAGCGGUCCGGCCGGGAACUCAAAGGAGACUGCCAGUGAUAAACUGGAGGAAGGUGGGGAUGACGUCAAGUCAUCAUGGCCCUUACGACCAGGGCUACACACGUGCUACAAUGGCGCAUACAAAGAGAAGCGACCUCGCGAGAGCAAGCGGACCUCAUAAAGUGCGUCGUAGUCCGGAUUGGAGUCUGCAACUCGACUCCAUGAAGUCGGAAUCGCUAGUAAUCGUGGAUCAGAAUGCCACGGUGAAUACGUUCCCGGGCCUUGUACACACCGCCCGUCACACCAUGGGAGUGGGUUGCAAAAGAAGUAGGUAGCUUAACCUUCGGGAGGGCGCUUACCACUUUGUGAUUCAUGACUGGGGUG